rnacentral:rRNA from 1 species
UACGGAGGGGGCGAGCGUUGUCCGAAUUCAUUGGGCGUAAAGCGCGUGUAGGCGGACUACCAAGCCUGAGGUGAAAGGUUGGGGCUCAACCCCAUACAGUGCCUUGGGGACUGAUAGUCUGGAGGCAGGCAGAGGUAUGUGGAAUUCCAGGUGUAGCGGUGAAAUGCGUAGAUAUCAGGAGGAACACCGGUGGCGAAGGCGGGUCUCUGGGCCGAUACUGACGCUGAGGAGCGAAAGCAUGGGUAGCGAACAGG